AAUACGUUCCCGGACCUUGCACACACCGCCCGUCAAGCCAUGGAAGCUGGGUGUACCUAAAGUCGGUAACCGCAAGGAGCUGCCUUGGGUAAAACUAGUAACUGGGGCU
rnacentral:rRNA from 1 species